CACAAAAUGGCGCUUUAAAGUCCCAGGCGGGACUGCGCACCGGCCCGCCCUCCCUCCGCGCCCGGCGGUUGGCCCGUUUGAAACGCGUCAGGAUGGACAAUACCAUUUUAAGGCAUGGAAUGUAAUCUCACUUUUACAAUUUCAUUAUGAGGUUUCUGCAGUGUAACACUUUCAUUUUAAUACCUUUCAAAGUCAUCUCAAGAAAAUCCAUGGUAAUUGGCUAUCUUUCAGUAAUUUACAGUAGCUCAGUACAGUAAUACUGAUGAUAAUAGAAAUGAAUAAUCCUUUGGAAAUGUAUAGCUCUUCAUUUUAAUCAUACUACUUCUUGUAAGUAUUAAUUAUCAUUCAUGGUACUCCUGAGUUAUGUAAGUAAAUAUUGCCUUUCUUUAACAGAUGAAUAAAAUGAAGAAGUGGAUUAAAAUGGCUGGAUUAAGAUGUAUAGACUCUAUGACUUAAUUUUCUGUAGAUCUUAAUUUUUCAUAAUUGUUAUUCUAAAAACACAGUGAAUGUCUACACUGGAGAAGACUAAGAGAAAGAUAAGAGAAGAAGGGAAGGGAAAGGAAGGGAAAGGCAAGGGGAAAAUAUCUGUAAUUUUUGUUCUCUUAUUUGUUAGCAUUCCUUUUCUUUAUAGAAUUCUUGAGAAGGAGGGGCAAAAUACCAAAUGAUAAAUUACUGCAGGGACACUUUAUUUUCUUAAAUAAUUCCUGCCUAGUACCGUAAACCCACCAGUAACUGCUAAUUAUUUUAACUGCUAACAAUGUUUUCUGUACAUGUGAUCACAUCAAGUUUUGAGUCCUGAUGAACCCUAAAAUCCUGUAUAUUAUGUCACACCACUUCUGCUGCUGGGGCUUUUCCUCCAGCAUACUCAUGCUCUUCUACCCAGAUUAGCAAUGUCAGUCUUACUGCCCAAUGCCUUUAAAGAUAACCACUCUUUUCCAAUAGCUUUAUCUUGGCUGUUGAGUGGUUGCAUUAACUGGGAGCCUGCUGCAGUUAAUUUGCUUCCUAGAUGUUUUUAGCAUACUUUUGGGGAAGUGUGCGUAACAGUGCAAGCAUGACUCCACAUCCAUUCACAACUAAACAAACCAGAUGUUACCCAAUAAUCAUCAGGUUCCUGGGUCUGAGAAGUGCCCAAACAAGCACUGGCAAAAUUCUUGAAAAUACUUUCAAAGAUAGACAGAAGCAAAUAAUUUACAAGAAUAAUCUCUCAUCUAGUUAUUAGGAACAAAAAAAAAAACAAACAAAAAAAGUGGGAUUGCUAUGUGUAGGAAUUGCAGUUGCAGUCAAGAAGAGAAAGAAGAUGUUAGGUAUCACUGUGGAAGGGACAGAAAGCAAAACAGCAGACAGCAUUCUGCUGAAUACAAGUCCAUUGUGCCUCCACAAGUCCCAAAUACUGUGCAUUUCUAGUCUUACCAUAUCUAAGAGGUUAUAGCAAUGAUAUGAAGAAGGGCAGCUAGGGUGAUCAGAAAUAUGCAACAGUUUCUCUAUGAAAAAGAGAUUAAAUAGGCUACAACUCUUCAGCUUAAAAAAAACAUAUGGCUGAGGAAGAUGAUAAAGGUUUAUUAAAAACUGUGAUAGUAUAAAAAAUAUAGAUAAGAAAUUAUUGUCUUAGUUUUUGUAAUCCAAGAAUGACAGGGAAACACAUGAAGCUAUAAAUCAGAAUACCAAAAAGACAUACUUUUUUUCCCAGGUAACUCAUAAUUAGUCUGUGGGCUUCAUUUCCCAGCAAAGUUCCCUAAAUGGAAAAAUGUACCCCAGUACUGAAUAUAAAGGAGAGCUGAUCAAGAAGGUAUUGCAGGGAUUACAGAGCUCACCAUUCAAAAUGACUAGACAUGAAUGG